rnacentral:lncRNA from 1 species
UCAUCAGAUUCCCAACCUUCGCUGGCCCGAGGCCCAAAGCGCUGAGCCUCAUCGUUCCCUGGGCAACGUCAUAGCUGGUGCUCAGCACGAAGUGGAACCACAGCAGUGACUUCUGCUGCGAGGAGUAAAAUUAGGCAGUUUCACAGGCAACAUGCAUGAUCUUGUUCAUCUGCAAGGUUCACAGACAGGAUGUAACCUUAUGUAAGAUGGAAACCUGUGAAGAAAGAUACAGAUAGCAGUUGGAGUUAAAAGUAGCAGACGAAUAUUUCUCUUCUUAAGUGGCAAGGAGUGAAUGUGAUGGAUUUAUCUUCAGAAAUGAACAAACAUGGAAGGAAUCCAGUAAGUCACAAGCUAGAAGAUCAGAAGAAGAUCAUGACUUGAACAGAUUCUUGCACCAUGGUUAUCCAGCUUUUCCUGCUGUCUCACAUGCAACAAAAUUCAUGCAUAUGCAUCGAAGAGUUUUCCUCAAAAUCUGGCAUGCCCUGAAACAAAACCAAGAAGCAGUACAAUGCUAUUGAAAAUCAGUGGUGUGUGUCAGAUGCAAAAUAUGUGUUUCGUGGGAAUACUGCUGAAAUACUGGUGCUCAUCCAUAGUUAUCUCGUUCACUCUUUAAAAAUAAAGCACAUUUCUCUGAGUUGUUGAUUCUUCUG